CCUACGGGAGGCAGCAGUGAGGAAUAUUGGUCAAUGGACGCAAGUCUGAACCAGCCAUGCCGCGUGCAGGAAGACUGCUCUAUGAGUUGUAAACUUCUUUUAUACAGGGAUAAACGCAGGUACGUGUGUCUUUCUGAAAGUAUCUUACGAAUAAGGAUCGGCUAACUCCGUGCCAGCAGCCGCGGUAAUACGGAGGAUUCGAGCGUUAUCCGGAUUUAUUGGGUUUAAAGGGAGCGUAGGAGGUCUGUUAAGUUAGCGGUGAAAGGCUGAGGCUAAACUGCGGAAUUGCCUUUGAUACUGGUCGGCUAGAGUGCAGUUGAGGUAGGCGGAAUGCAUGGUGUAGCGGUGAAAUGCUUAGAUAGCACGCAGAACACCGAUUGCGAAGGCAGCUUACCAAGCUACCUCUGACGUUGAGGCACGAAAGCGUGGGGAGCAAACAGGAUUAGAUACCCGUGUAGUC
rnacentral:rRNA from 1 species